rnacentral:rRNA from 1 species
CCUACGGGUGGCUGCAGUGGGGAAUAUUGGACAAUGGGGGCAACCCUGAUCCAGCCAUGCCGCGUGUGUGAAGAAGGCCCUCGGGUUGUAAAGCACUUUCAGUGAGGAAGAACGCCUGGUGGUUAAUACCCAUCAGGAAAGACAUCACUCACAGAAGAAGCACCGGCUAACUCCGUGCCAGCAGCCGCGGUAAUACGGAGGGUGCGAGCGUUAAUCGGAAUUACUGGGCGUAAAGCGCGCGUAGGUGGCUUGAUAAGCCGGUUGUGAAAGCCCCGGGCUCAACCUGGGAACGGCAUCCGGAACUGUCAAGCUAGAGUGCAGGAGAGGAAGGUAGAAUUCCCGGUGUAGCGGUGAAAUGCGUAGGGAUCGGGAGGAAUACCAGUGGCGAAGGCGGCCUUCUGGACUGACACUGACACUGAGGUGCGAAAGCGUGGGUAGCAAACAGGAUUAGAUACCCCGGUAGUC